rnacentral:rRNA from 1 species
UACGUAGGGUGCAAGCGUUGUCCGGAAUUAUUGGGCGUAAAGAGCUUGUAGGCGGUUUGUCGCGUCUGCUGUGAAAUUUCGGGGCUCAACCCCGAACUUGCAGUGGGUACGGGCAGACUAGAGUGCGGUAGGGGAGAUUGGAAUUCCCGGUGUAGCGGUGAAAUGCGCAGAUAUCGGGAGGAACACCGGUGGCGAAGGCGGUUCUCUGGGCCUUACCUGACGCUGAG